rnacentral:lncRNA from 1 species
CAAAACCUGCUUAUGCACAUGAUGCAUGCAAUGCUUGUGCACAUGAUUUGUUUUUUUUUUCUUUUUUUCUUUUUAUUUCAAAGGAACUUUAGGGUUUUAUUUGCAAUGUUUGGAAGUAUUAAACAUUUAUCACAUAUGGAAAUAUCUCAUCAAAUAAUAUCUGGAAACAUUUUUACAGUACAGAAGUACAGUUUUGGUAACCAAAUAUAAUACCAGAGAGAAGGGAAA